CGCUGAGCCUGCGCGUCCAGAGCCUGUGCUUCGCAACGGGAGAGGCCACAACAGUGAGAGGCCCGCGUACCGCAAAAAAAACAAAAAAGAAAGGGACAUGGAUGAUAUGAUCCACUGAAUUUACAAGUUAAACAGACCAGUGCUGAGGAGAAGCAAAGCUAGUGCUGAUUUUGAGAUCCAGAGCUCUAGAUACUGCAUGAUCAGAAAUGAAAGACUUCAGAUAUACUGCAGUAACACCUGUGUUAACAACCAAAAAAGUAUGGUAAUGGCAUAUUUUUGUCAGAAAUAUUGAUUCAAAGCUAGAAAUUAUAUCAAGGCCUAAGGUGAUAAUCCUUCAUUUCAGAGAAAAGCGUUUAUUAUACAAGAAGUCAAAACUGCUGAAACUAAUGUCAAGUAGGCCAUACAGUGUUUUGCGAACUGUAGAUCGUUAUUCUUAAGUAGAUCAUGAAAUGAGUUUAGGAGGUUGUACCCAAUGUAUUUUUUUAAUGAAAUGGAUUAACCCAGAAUAUAGCAGAAUGGAAGCUGACAGAGGAAGGGUGUAUGUGUGUGUGUAUUUGUGGUUGUGCUGUAUCACAGUGUAAAAUGUACUUGUCACCAGGAUUGUGGUCCAAAACAUUUGAAAGCCAUUGUCAUCAAACCAUUAAAAGGGGCAUAGCAGCAUCUUGGGCAUAGGGUCAGAUUAAGGUUGACCUAGGCUUUUGAGGAGUCGGAGGGAGAGGUUAAGGAAACUCCAAGCAAAGGUGCCCAUUGGAGACUUGGGCUAAGGCUGAGGAGGGCAAGGACCCCAGCAAAUGCACAUGCUCCAAAAGCAGCACUUUUCAAAACCUGUGGCUGUCAUGGAGACGUGGGAGAGGACGCAUGGUGGGGUACAUUUAAAACGUCAUGAGUCAUACCCUGAGAUACAUGGACAAGGUCACAGCGGGGGGCCCGUUCCAUUGUGUUCAUUCUCCCACCAACAUAAGCACCUUCCCCAAAUCAAGACCAGGCCUUCGGCUGGAUGCCCUUUGGACCUACACUGUCCAGUACAGGAGCCAUGAGUCACCUGUGACUACAGAGCCAUUGUAACGUGGCUGGUCCCAAGUGAGACGUGCUCUAAGUAUAAGAUACACUCCAAAUGUACAAGAAUGUAAAAUGUCUCGUAAAUUUUGUAAUACUGAUUUAUUGAUUACAUGUUGAAAUGAUGGCAUUUUGGAUAUAUUGAGUUAAAUAAAAUGUAUUAUUAAUUUCA